rnacentral:tRNA from 1 species
UGCGGGAUCGGCUAAUGGUAGGCCAGUAGCCUCUGGAGCUAUUUAUCUUGGUUCGAAUCCAAGUCCCGCAGCCA